GUUUCGCAAUGGGAAUGGCUGUUGGGAGCCCUGGCAGGACCAGGUGGACAUGGAAGUGAUGGAGGCGUUCAGGGAACGCUGAUUGUUUUUCCCUGCCUCUGGCAGUCAGGUCAUUACAAAGACUAAUUGACCUCUUCCAGUGGGGAGACAUUUAAACAAGAGGUGCCAAAAGAAUUGGAGCUUCUGCACGAUGAAAUCUGCAAGUAUCCAACUUAAAAUCCCCCCUGGAUCGUCACUGGUCCAAUUUCCACGGACUGGUCGCCUUGGCCAGGAGUGUCCAAUCCUGCUGUCAAUGCAUUGGGCCGGGGUCUCAUUUUCAUUUCAUGUAAAGACCCUCUGGAUGUCCCCCAGUCACUGGAAAGACCGGACUGGGCUCCCAGGGCAGUAAUUCCAGGUGUUCUCUUCAUGGGAAUAGCACAGGAGCCUUCCCCUUGGCCAGAGGAGCAGCCAGUGCCUUCCUCAGUCCACAAAUUCCCAGGACAGAACACAGAGAAA